UGUGUUUUGGUUAUGCUUUAAAGAAAAAAAAGCCUAUGAAGUUAAAGUUGAAGCAGCUGGAGUCCUGUGCUCACUGUAAGGAUGUCAAACGUUAUUGCCAUGAAUAAGCAAUUCUUUGUUUGUAAUGCCUUUUUAAGCAGAAAGAUGAAGAUUUGAGUCAGUGUGUUUCACGGGCACUUUCCACAGCGCACAGCGACCAAACCGAGAGCACAACCAUCUCCCCCGGCUGGGAAGCCACAAACCCGCCCCGGUGCUGUAUCGAUGAUGCGCCGAGCAGGUCCCUAACUGCACACAGCGGGGCCACCAUCGCGUGUUGUCACCGUGAGCCAUUGAAGGUCUUUAACCUGCCGAUCGCCGCCGCGAUCCGCGGCUCCUGCCGGGGAUCUGCUGACUAACAGGCCGGGGCGCUGCGAAAACCUCGGGGUCGCCUGAGAAACACGGCCGGGCUGCCCGUCAGGCAAUCGCGGCAGCUCAAUUAAUGCAUCUGGGUCAGGAAAAUGGUUUGCGGGAGCCCGAGCCCGGUUACGAAACGCGGGUACCGCGGCCGGGGCGAGGGCAGCCCCCGCUGCGCGCAGUUGUGAAUAACAACACCAGAUUCUCGCCUGUGUGUCCCUGGAAUACCUGGACAUUUUCUUAAGCUCCAAGAAAUAUACCUGUAUUAGACUGAGUUAACUCAGGAACUGAGAAAAAGUUUAUUGACUCAUCUGAAAUAUUUUUAAUUAUGUCACUUGUAUUCAAUACUCAAUUUCAUAUAGCAAAAGAAAACGUAAGAACAGGGCUGCAUAAGCCUCACCACAACCACACCCUGUGGAAACAAUCUGUGAAGAACCCCCCUUCUUUGUCCUGCUCUCCCUGGAGCUUCUGACCCAAGAACCACAGGUUCAGAACAUCCCACAUCUCCCUGCUGUCAUGCUGGCCUCAUGGGUGAGGGACACAAAGCGUGCCCUCAGUCCCAGUGACACUUGUGUGGAGUGUCCCUGUGGGGAAGGAGAACUCAGCAAGUCUCCUACUCAUCACUUUGGUGCCUGAGAACCUACAGACUUUGGAAAAUGAAGUCUCUCUGACUCUCCUCUUUUUCCAUUUCAUGGUUUCCAUCCACCUUGCAUUCCACAGUCCUCCCCAAGCCCAGCCCAGCCUGCAGACCUGCACAGGAUUUUAUCCCUCACACCCCUUUAGGGAGGUUGCCAUGUGGCAGUUCCAUGAUGUACAUGAGAAAAGGAGCUACGAGGACUGCACAAGUCUCACAAACCCAAACUAGAUUGCAGACUGCCUUUUCCUGGGUUCUGGUGGCUUCACAAGCACAGCAAGGGCCCCCAGGAUCCCUAUGAAUCCCUGGCAUGGUGUUAUUUCUGUGCAGGACAAUAAAGACACAGGGUGGGUGCACCAGGGAAGGGGUACCGUAAGGAAAGACUUCCCCAUUUCCAUGCAGGAGUAAAAGAAUCAGGAACAUCUUUCUGGGUUUUUUUCUGGGAUGUGUUUUGAUGCAGGGUUUGGCAUUUAGUGCCUGGAUAGCAUUACUGACAUUCAGAGCUUUGCUGUAGUCAGUGAAGUGGUCUCAAAUAAAAUACAAAGUUCUACAUUUUCAUUCUCCUGAAGAUUUUUCUGUCAAAUUGGGUCAACUUCUAAGUAAAGCAGGAGAUCAUUUUAGCCCCUGUCAGCACUGCAAAACUAACGUGGUAUUUGAAAAUUACUUGUGUGCUUGAAAAUGAUGUGGACUCUGGAUUUGGCAGGCAGUACUGUUUAAGAUCUAAUGGUAUAUAAUUCAAAACCUGAACCUUUCUGCUUUGCUGAGCUUAUCAUUAUUUUAGCAAAUGUUUGUUUUGGUGGGAUCUUGGGGGUAAUAUGAACAAAUGAAAGCUCCAUAAUGAUAUUUUUUCCAAUACUGAAAAUAAAAAAUAAGCCAACAUCCCCCCAGUGUUUUAAGUAGCAGCAUUUGCCACCUUUAUAAAAAUUCUAUUAUAGACAUGGAAACAGAUCAUAAAACUGCUCUGCCCAGAUCUGCAGGGAAAUCAAACAGAUGGCAGAUCCCACUGCAGUUUGGAGGAAGAUUUCAUAUCUAGAUAGGCAAGAGAA